GUCACCAUGAUAACCUGAAUUGGGAAGAAAUACAACCAAUGAGAAGCAGGCACAGCAAAAGCAGAGAUUGCUCAUCACUGGGAAAUCUCAUUAUGCUGCAAGACUGGAUCUACCUGGUACAUCUCAGUACCCUCAGCUUUUCUCAUUGGACCCUAUGACCAGAGGGCAGGGACAUGGGUUCUAAGCCCCCCAGCUCCAUGUAUGCAGUCUGGAAGGCCUCUGCUGUGCUUUCAUCGAGAGGCUGUUCCUG